ACUUUUUUCUUUAGGGCUGACUAGGAUUUUUAAUGUUCUGUUUUUAAAAUUGUUUAAAAAUUUGAAAAUAUAUUACUAUAUUUACUUUUUUUCAUUUUAUUUUAUUGCAAAAUUUUGAAAAUAAAAGACAUAAAAAAUAAUAACAAAAACUAUUUCUUCUGUUUGGUUUAUUAUAUAUACUAGUUAUAGGUUACUUAUAUGGUACUUAUAUAUGUUCAAUCUCUACAUGUGCAAUCUCGCAAACUUUAGCCAUUUGACAGUCCAACUUAUAUGGUACUUCUUUCUGUGAAACUUUGUUUCCUUUUUUUAAACAAAUUGUUUGUCAAGAACUUCUUUUUGAAUCUGUUAUUUUGCUAAGUAGCCACAAAGAUGGUUCAAAUGUGUAAUAUAUAUAAAGAAUUUGAUCAAUUAAUUCUCUUAUGAGUUACGAUGUUUAGUCUCCACCAACAACCUUGUAAAAGUGUCUAUCCUGUCCUACUUUAGAUCUGUAGAUUUGAUAGAUGCAAGCAUUUGUGCAGAGAUCAGAAUAAGGAUUCCCAAAACAAUUGCAUGGGACUACAAUUUUGAACCAGCUCAGACAAAUCCCUUGACCUUUACAGCUAAGCUCUAAUGGAAGCUAUUGAAGAGCCAUUAAAAGCCGAAGGACAUGGAGACUUGCAGGGAUGAAGCUGAACUGGAGUGUGUAAAGACACAGCUGAAAGGAAGUUGGCAUGCCACUCCAAGAAAUGGUGUUCAACGCCUUCCAAGAUACAGAGAAGUUGCGUGCCACUCCAAGGAUGGCUUUAAUGCCAUGAAGCCCAGCAAGCCAAGCAACAAGUUGGCGUGCCACUCCACCACAAGGGCAUUUAAGGCCUUCAACAGAGCAACAAGUUGGCGUGCCACUCCACCGUAAGUGCGUGCAACACCGUCAACAAGACAACAAGUUGGCGUGCCACUCCAAAGUUGGUGUGUAAUGCCUUCAAUGAUACCAUGGAGUUGGCAUGCUACACCAAGACCAGGCAUGUAACGCUUCCAAGCCCACAAUAAGUUGGCGUGCCACGCCACAAGCCCAAGUGCCAUGCCAAUCAAGGCUCACUCCCAGAUAUGUAAUUUUGGACAAAGAAGAUCCCACACCUUUUCAAUACGAUCUUGAAAUAGAGCUGCCUUUAUUUCGAUUAAGAAAGAAAUCAUGAAUUAGAAAAGAGGAAGAGAAAAUGGCAGAGGAACUAAACAAUGCAAGAAGGAACUUUGGGGACUUCACCACACCCACCACUAAUUUUGAGUCGAAGCCUUCACCACCCUUGGGAACUUCAUCGUCAAAUUCAUCAUAAAUAAUCACUAUAAACCAAACUCACUGUCAUUAUCAAAUUUAUCAUAAGCCUUUGAUAAAAUAGAUUCAAUCUUAAUCAUAAUCUUAAUUAAUUAUGAUUC